CCUACGGGAGGCAGCAGUAGGGAAUCUUCCACAAUGGGCGAAAGCCUGAUGGAGCAACGCCGCGUGGGUGAAGAAGGUCUUCGGAUCGUAAAACCCUGUUGUUAGAGAAGAAAGUGCGUGAGAGUAACUGUUCACGUUUCGACGGUAUCUAACCAGAAAGCCACGGCUAACUACGUGCCAGCAGCCGCGGUAAUACGUAGGUGGAAAGCGUUAUCCGGAUUUAUUUGGCGUAAAGGGAACGCAGGCGGUCUUUUAAGGCUGAUGUGAAAGCCUUCGGCUUAACCGGAGUAGUGCAUUGGAAACUGGGAGACUUGAGUGCAGAAGAGGAGAGUGGAACUCCAUGUGUAGCGGUGAAAUGCGUAGAUAUAUGGAAGAACACCAGUGGCGAAAGCGGCUCUCUGGUCUGUAACUGACGCUGAGGUUCGAAAGCGUGGGUAGCAAACAGGAUUAGAUACCCCAGUAGUC
rnacentral:rRNA from 1 species